GCCUGGCUGGCUUAGUUGGUAGAGCACACGACUCUUGAUCUUGGGGUUGUAAGUGCAAGCCCCACGUUGGGCC
rnacentral:tRNA from 1 species